rnacentral:lncRNA from 1 species
CAUGGAUGCUAUUCUGUGUUCCUCCCUCUUUCCUUCCAAAGGCCACGACAGGAAGAGAAGCUGCCAACACCAGAUGACCAACUCCUUUCCAGUUACAGACCACCCCAGUGAUGAGACCUCCAUAUGUUGUCUGAUGGCCGCAGUUCCUCAGCAAAUGGAGAAGCAUGGCCUGUCAGCCCAGCAUCAGAUGGUUCCAUGCCGACCUCCUCCAUGGCUGGGGGUUGGAGUGCCCCAGCUGCUGCCUCCCUCGUAGCUUUCAUUAAAGGACUUUGCUUUUUUGGUAAAUAAGAGCCCCAUUUUUCUACCUUAGUCUUUGAAAAUCAACCUGAGAAACACUUUGUGUAAGUACCACAGAUGUAUUUUCAGUUUUCUACCCACAUUUAGUUUCUGGGUUUUUUUUGUUGUUGUUUUUUGUUGUUGUUUGUUUGUUUUUUGAGAUAGCGUUGCCCAGCCUGGAGUGCAGUGGCAUGAUCUUGGCUCACUGCAGCCUCCACUUCCCAGGUUCAAGUGUUUCUCCUGCCUUAGCC